rnacentral:rRNA from 1 species
UACGGGGGGAGCAAGCGUUGUUCGGAUUUACUGGGCGUAAAGGGCGCGUAGGCGGCGCAACAAGUCACUUGUGAAAUCUCCGGGCUUAACCCGGAGCGGCCAAGUGAUACUGUCGGGCUAGAGUGCGGAAGAGGCGAGUGGAAUUCCUGGUGUAGCGGUGAAAUGCGCAGAUAUCAGGAGGAACACCUAUUGCGAAGGCAGCUCGCUGGGACGUAACUGACGCUGAGACGCGAAAGCGUGGGGAGCAAACAGG